CAAAGGUUUCCAUGGAAACUUGUCAAGCGCUAUUGCUCGAAGAGGUACGUGGCGCUCAACAGUCGUCUGUUUAAGCUGAAAAUCAAACAUUGGCAAUCAGAAAUUGUGUCAUUCACGCUUACUUCACUACAAACCAAACGCUUGCCAAACUGCCGUUACGCAAGAGGUUUAGAUAUAAUUUAAGAUAACGUAUUAAAAUGCCGUUAGUGCUGACGUUGAAUGAAAUUAUAUUGCUUGUUAGCAAGAGCAGACACGUUGGGUAAUUGUCACCAGCUAUUACAACAAUAUAAGUUCAAAAUUUGUUUCAUGUAAAGGAUGCUAAUGCUUAAAUGAAGCAUUUGAAAGUCAGCGUGUGAUACCAGGUGCGUCUCAAUUUCGAAGGCUAACGUUAACGUUACGUACGCCGGAAUUUGAAUUUAUCGUCCGGUAUUCAGGUUUUAUUUUUAGAAAAGCAACCGUUACAUUUCAUGUUAAAGAACGAAAUUACAAUGAUUAACAUUUUAAGAGCAAUAAAUGUUAAUACAAAGAAGUGAGAUAACUUUGUUGACGUGUGCGGUCGACAAAAGUGACCUUCAGAUUUGCUCCAGACGCAGCCUUUCUGGGUUUAGGCAAAUCAGCUUUAUGAAGAGCAGACCACCCAGUUCGUUUACCACCUGCAUUGAGUACAAAUAUGGAUCAGAACUCUAGAGCUAAUCUGAUAUCAGCAGCUCCUGGUGAGCAAGCCAACACUGCAGUGUGGCGAGAAACCAAAACUCCAAUGAUGAUCCAAUGGAGAAAAAAACAGUUUCAACCAGGAGGGUCUGUUCUCCUCAGACACAUAAGCUGCACACAGAAAUUUCCUGAGCUGGAUGAUUAGUCAGACAGCAGGUUCUCACAGGAGCCAGUUCAGACGGCAGUUCUCCACUACCUCCCAAUUUUAAAUCAAAUUUGUUUUUGACAUCAAACAAAUACGGUUCUUUGAACAAAAGGUCUCAUUUGCGUCUAUUGAGACACACAAGAUGCUUUUUGGAACGUUCUCAAAUUAUGCUGGGAAAACAUGAAUUAUCAGGUUCAACUUGACUUGUCCAUGCCAGCUUCAGUGCAUGGAUACAUGCUUAAGUUUAAUUUAUAAAAGUACCUGAAGUCCACAUGAAAUAAAAAUUGUCCAUGUUAACUAUAGCUUUGUUAGUGCAUGUAACUAGUUUAGUGGCAAGAGCUUCAUCUGUAAAUGUCAAUCCACAAAGUUUUUUUAUGUCUUUAUAGACUUUAAUCAAAAUCUGAAAAUGGGUACUUGACAAAUGAAUCAUACACAUGUCCUAUGGUGUGACAUUUACAUGGAAUUUAGUGUAGCUUCAUUGUAAGUUUUUUCACAUUUAUUGCCCUCACACCAUGGGACAAAUUUGCAUAUUAGUCUGUCAACUACCCAAAUACCACUGUGAACUAGAUUUCUAUAUGAAAUGUCUACUUUUUAGUUCCAAUCAAUUUGCAGUGGGAAAAACAAGCCUGCCCCCCUGUGUUUUUCUCAUUCUAUAUUCAGUUUCAGCUGCUUUAAUUGAGAAAUAUAUUUUAUUUGAGAACAAUAUGGAUAGUGUAAUGUUUAAUUUGUUUCAUUAAACUGAAUAGCAAUACAUAUGGGAAACAUGGCUACCUGCUUUACUAAUAACCUACAGACAGGUACAAAAACUGAGGCAUAUUUUUGUAAGGUCACAAUACUUGAAGGUAAAGGCAUGAACCUGUAUUUGCAUAACAAGAUGUCCUUGGUGAUGUUGCAUAGCUGUAACAAUUGACCUCUAAACACCCUACACACAAUCUGUGUGGCCCUAUAAAUAAGGCAUAAGACUGAUUGGAAUGAAUAUAUACAUGUGGGUUGAAGAGUCACAGGGGUACCGCCGUGUGAAGUGCUGAGAGAGCCAUGAGGACAUGCGGCCAGCGCAAACUCCAUAUAGUGCAGAUGGAUAGAGGAGGAAUUCUGCUUCAGCUCUCGGAUGAUUUAUAGGCCAGGAUAGGAGGGUGUGCAUCUUAACAUCUGCAUGUGCGUGUUCGUCUUUAUACUUGUGUUGCUGUGGGAGAGUGUUAUGGAUUCUGACUUGAUUUCCAUGUGGUGUUGAUACGAAGAAUGUUGUUUUCCCCCCAAGCUCUCCUUAGGGACAGUGUCAGAAGGUGUAUGUUUGUUGAAGUAAAGGGACUUUAUUAUUUCUUUGUUUUUGUUUACAUAUUUGAUUUAUAUUCAGUAUUGUGAAUAGUGUUGGGUGUAACUAGUUACUAAGUAAUUAGUUACUUUAAUUUAUUUACUUUUCCCUUGGAAAAAGUAAAGUAAUGGAUUACUCAAAUUUUUCUGUAAUUUAAUUAGUUGCCUCUGAUGUAAAUAAACUAAAUGCUUUGUGUUAUGUAUGUGUGUGCAAUAGUGCAAUAGUGCAAAAGUCUAACUUUAAAAUCUACGCUUUUAUAUAUAAUUCUCACAUUGGUAAUACUUUGGUCAGUUAAUAAUACUACUUUAUGUAGUAAUUAUGUUAAUUAAAAGUGCCAUCUCAUGUCUAUCCUUGAAUCAUUUAACUAAUCAAGGUUGAUAUAGGAUAUAGAAAGCAAUUAGUAAUAAGUAAUUAAAGAGUAAGUAAAAUGAAAUCAUGAAAAUUACAUUUCAUGCAGUGGGUUAUGUUGCCGUGUUUGAAAGUAAGCAGUCUGCCAAGUUGUAAGUCCGAAGGUGAAUGAAUAACAAUGUUCAUGACGCGUGUGCAUCAUGUCUAGAACCUGUGUUCUAUGUUGUGAACCUAAGUGCAACUUAUUUAAACUACCAAACGAGGAACUUCUGAGGAAACAAUGGUUACAAUUAAUUUUUCAAAAGACACCAAAGGAGUAUAACCUCAGGGUUUUACUAAGCGCAAGUCACUUCACCAAAGAUUACUUCAAUAAUCUUGGCGCAUUCCCUGCAGGAUAUGUUAAAUGACUAUUCUUGAAAGAGGGGGAAAUACCAACUUUAUUUUUGUCUUAACUUCAAGAAAUAUUUGAGUACCUUAUGUCUGUGUUUAGCUAAUGCACAUAACGUUAACAUGUAACGUUAUUUCUGGGGUAUUACAGUUUUUUUUCUAGCUAUGAACCGUCUUAUUUAAGCGUGUAACAACUUCAAGGAAUGGGAAGAAGGAGGCGGGAACCGGCGAACAUUUAAACAACUUUUUAAUAAAAUAAACAAACCACAAAACGAAAGUAAAAUGAACAUUAUAAACAUAAACAUUAUAAACCAUAACGUAAAGUCCAGGCCUGGUCCUCUCACCUCGUACACUCCUGUCGCUCGUCCAUUUAUGCUUCCGAUCUCCUCCAUGAGAGAUCAUCAAGGCUCUCGUCCCGAUAUUACAACAUAAUAGUGUUUUUACACCUUCUUUGUACAUAAACUUGUUGUUGGACACUCCAUAAACCAAUGUAGGACCUUAAAAAUUAAAUGUUACUUACUCUCUACUUUUUGGAGAGAGUAAUUUGUACAGUAAUCUUAUUACACUAUUGAAUAUGUAAUUAGUAACUAGUAAAUAAUAACUUUUUCAGAGUAUCUUGCCCAACACUGAUUGCGAAUGGGUGAUGCAUAGAUGUGGGUUUGUGUAAUGAUGUGUUAUUGUUGAUUAUAUACCAGUCUGUUUGCGUCAUACAUGAAUUGAUGUUUUAGGUUAAAUGCGUGCUUGUUUACUGAAGACCAAAGAUGUUCAUUCUCAGCAUGCUUUUCCCCCAAAGGCACAGCGCUUUCAUAUCUGCUGGCUAAAUGGAAUCUCAGUUUUUAAUGGACUUCUUUUGUAUGCCAACAGGUCUGUUUUCACAUGAUGCAUUUGCUUUUCUGUUGGUGUUCCGAUAAAGUACACUCUAUCUGCUUUCCCAAGCAAUACCUCAAACAGGUUGUGUCAAGCUCAAUAUUCAAAGAGCCACAGUAGAUGCUGUUUCCUCAUUAUGCACCAACCCCUGAUUGACUGUGUGAGGUAAUUGAUUGUAGGCUGCUGUGUGUCCUCUUAUCUGGACUGCUUAAUCAGCAGGUGGUGAAAAACUUCUGGCAUUAAACUCUAAAUAUGCAACGUGUAACAUACUGAACAAGGACUUAUUGUUUUGGAAGAACUUGCUGAACAUAAAGUCUGGGUAAAGAGAGUUAUGAGAAUUCUUUCUAAACACAUUAUAGAUGUUAGUUAUGUUUUGCUGAAACACAUUACAAAGACUUGUGGAGUUAAACCGUUAAACAUUUUUCACCGAUUCUCUGUUUAGGAUUUUUUUGGGCAGGGCUAAAACGUUGGAUCAAUGACGCAGUUGAAGUUGAUUGUCCGAGCAUGCAUGCCCCCCCCCCCCCACUAGAGCGCCUAGCAUCAGGUGUCUGCUCAAUUGCGAGCUCAGGAUUGUAAGCUUUUCGCACACGCUUUCAGGCCCUCGCUCUGCCCAACCAAUCAAAAUCUCACGCCAAAUAACAAGCAAAUGGUAACACAGACGCGAAUGGAAGGAGGAUCACUGCGCGUUACUGCGAAGUGCUUCAGUGAACGAUGUUUAAUUAACACAUUUCGAGACGAGCAAGAGCAGAUAAUCCACCGGGCUGGUUCGCUAUCAGCAGUCCCAGCAUCUACCUUAUCAGCUCAAGAGAGAACCACUACAAAUAGACAAAGCUGUCUCUGUUCAUACUUGACUGCUUUUUUGAGGCUGCUAGCGUCUGUUUUAAAUUAUAAUCCUAUGGAGUAAACCGUGUUUUAGUCCUGAACGCUUUUUUAGAACGUCAGCGUCUUUUUCAGCAGCGCAGAGCGUCUUUUGAGAUUGAAACAUUUCAACUUUUCUGAAAAAACAUCCUGUCAAGCACAAGGCUAACCAAUGAUGGAGACCUGCUGUUCCAUAACAACAUGCGAGGAAUGUGAUAUGUGGCGAAGGCUCAAGCUCGAAAGAAAAAAUAAGAUGGCGGGCGAAACGCCCGUUGGAGCUUAAACAGGAAGGAGGAGAGUAAGCUUCAUACAGCUAUAAGCAAGGUUUAUCAUAUAUAUAUAUCUUAUAUAUCUGUGUUUUCUGAAGUCCACAGUCAAUGCAGCAAUCUACCAGGACAUUUAAGAGCACUUUAUGCUUCUUUCUGCUGACAAGCUUUAUGGAGAUGCUGAUUUCAUUUACUAGCAGGACUUGGCACCUGCCCACACUGGCAAAGUUACCAAAAGCUGGUUCAUUGAACAUGAUGGUACUGUGCUUGAUUUGCAAGCAAACCCGCCUGACCUGAACACCAUAGAGACUCUAUGGGGUACUGUCAAGAGGAAGAUGAGAGACACCAGACUCAACAAUGCAGAUGACCUGAAGGCCACUAUAUCAAAGCAACCUGGGCUUCCAUUACACCAUGGGAGUGUCACGGGCUGAUUGCCUCCAUGUCACGCCACAUUGAUGCAGUAAUUCAUGCAAAAGGAGGCCCAACCAAAUAUUGAGUGCUUAUAAAAGAACAUACUUUACAGAAGCCCGACAUUUCUGUUUAAAAUAUCCUUUUUUUUAAUUGAUCUUAUGCAAUAUUCAA